CAUUACGGGCUUGCAGAGUGAACGAUUCACUUGUUCACUUAUUGCUUUAAAUGUGCUCAUUUAUGGUGCUUUCAUGCUUAACAUUUUAUCUGACCAUGCACUGGCUGCAACUUAUACCAUCAUACAUUAAAUUGCAUGCUUAUCAUUGCUGUUUUGAAUCGAAGCAACGCAGAAUCAUUGCUGAUGGAUCUUAUUUAGGAAUCGCAUAUUUAAGUUUUAAAAAAAUGUACCCGCCGCGGCGGCCGCAUUUAGAUGGGAGCGAAAUGCAAGAAACGCCUGUGUGGCACGUUAAAGGGACAUUAAAGUGAAAAAUUAUUUCUUCUGCAUCAGUAAAUUACCGUUCUACAACACCAAAAACACCACUGUUACAAUGAUAAGACGUUUGGUAAGCCAGAAAAAGCGCAAGAACGAAAUACGGGUGGCGACGCCUACUUGAGUUCCCGCACCUGGGGCUGUGACGUCGUGGAUUUUGAUGGCAUCUUCUAGGGCCUACUAAUUAUAUAUAGCGGUACAGAUUGACUAUAUUGAGUUCUAAAGGAACCAAAUAUUAAACAUGGCAAGUUUCAGGAACCUUUAUUCAGCCAACGCGGCCCAAAUGCGAAAACAUACUUUGGAAUCCCUGACGUCACGCUAACGUACCGGCACUGGGGUUUCGGCGCGAAAUUCAAAUACUGAUACUUCGACCUUCAUUUUCUCAUCUAAUAAUCAAACUAUUUUUUUGAAAUCACUGCCUGCAGGGUUCUCAAACAAUGCUUCAUUAGUCUAAACUGAUUUAUUGUUUCGCUUUAGUGUCCCUUUAAAGAUCCCCUCGUGGUCAAAAUUAAUCCGGACUGCGUCACUAUGGCAUGCCUCAUAAUCAAAUCGUGGUUUUAGCGCUAAAACCCUAGAAUACAUUCUAUAAAAGAAAAGUGACUGGAGGAGCAUGAAUGAAGUUAAUGAUUUGCUAUUUUUACUUUAACUAAUGAAAGAAAGAAAACAAAUAUACAAAGUAUGAACCCUGCUUCUAGUUCCCAACUUCUGUAAGGUAAACCAUGCGAUACAAUAUAUGCAGAUUUGGUAGCAUGAAUAUUAGCCAUAGUGGUGGCCAUGCCAUGCAGGAAAGCACUCGCUUUGCAAACUUGGAAAUGGGUAAGCACCUAUAGUAUGGUACAGGAAAAAUUUGUUUCUCCCCAUUGCAGCAAGCACCUACUUUUUCUUUUUUACUGCAUUCUUUAGGGUCUAGAAGCAAUAGUUGUCAGGUUAGGUAGCAUGGACAAGCCUCCUUGUACAUUAAUAAUGUGUUAAAUCAGCUUUUCUGUUCAAGAAAUCUGGUCUAAUCUUGUGCCCUAAACUGGUGCUGGAGCUUUCAUAUGCUUUACAGUCGUCGUAUAGUUAUGCACAGGCUUGCGCGGUAUUGCACACUAAUGAAUAGAGGCAAGUGCACAGGUAUGAGAUUGCACUUCUGCCUAAGGUCGAUCUGCAAUCGAGUACAUGGCUUUGUGUGAGCGAGAACUCCAUACAAUGGAAAGGAUUGCGUCUAAAAACAUGUACACACAGCAGAAAAAACAAAGUAGCACUUCAUAUCAAUCUUAACACAAUAAGUAAAUGCUGAGUCAACCAAAGCGCAAAUUUUGCAUUGUUUGAUUAAAGAAGUGCUAGAAGUACUGUACACUAGUUCUAAUGAUAGCUCCUGUCGAAGUUUUAUAUUUCCUGAAUUCCCAAUGUGCAAAAAAUUUAAAUCUACUAAUUGUUCAGUUAAAACAUGUCAACGGCGUCUGACACGCCGGCUGAGAAAAAGAAGAGGAAAGAAAAAAAGGAUACGCCAAGAAACCAAACUAAGUGUUGUUGCCUAUAGCUUGAAAUUUAGCAUAGCGGAUAGAUUAUAAAGCUCCUUUUGAAAUGUUUAUGCCUAUUUGUUGCAAUGCCUUGAACUUAUAGAUAAGGUAUGAUUCUCUGUAUUUUCUUUCUCGUUCAGAACGGAAAUUUGUAAGAUGUAGAGUUGUCAUUUUCAGUUGUCAUUUCAUGCAGUUCUUGGCGUUGCUCACGAAAAAAAUUUUGAUGGCAGUCACUUUGUGCUGCUAUAAUUAGAUGCCAUGUCACAGUGUCAACCUCAAGUUAAUAAAGCAAAUUAGCUUACAGUUUCUAUACAUACUGUCUUCGCAGGAGUUUGAUCUCUGUAUGAAAGCUGCAAAAUGUACUCAAACAAAGCAUAGUUUAAAUAUGUACAAGAAGCAACAUCAUUCUUGUCACUUUUUUAUAUCUUCUUUUUCUUCAAUUCCAUUAUGCUUCGCUCUAAAAUUUUGCCCUGAGAAAAACAAAUGCUUGAUCCUCAUCAGGAAAAGAGAAAAGAUGUCACUGAACCUCUUCUUCAUAACUACUGAGUUCCACAACAUGUCUACGAUUCAACUUUGUAACGCUAGUUCUGUGCAUUACACACCCUGAAAUGCAGACUGAACAUAACAAGUGUCCAGGGUACUUAAUCUUCUUUCUUCUUCUAAAUUACCCCAUAAGAUAUUCUGCACAGCCAACGUGGGCUUACAAUAAACUGAUUCCCCUUGACACACUGCAUACAUGUAACAUUUGCUUUAUUUUAUUAUCCUGAUCAGCUUUCAAGUCAUUGAAGGAAAAGGUGGAGAAAGACACACGCAGUCACUUCAUUGCAAGGACAGGUACAGAGACUUGCGGCCACCUGAAAAAGAAGCAUUUCUACUUCGUCUGUCACCGGUCUGGAAGUUAUGCUUCACAAGCUACAAGUAAACAAAAGCUGAAGCGGCCUUCAAGUGUCAAGUGUGGAAAAAGAUGUUUUGCGGCAAUGGCUGUGACUGAAGACAACACAGGGCACUAAACUUCAGUAAAAAAAAAUUUUAUGAGCCGCACAUUCUAGCAGACAAAGUAAACUGCAAGUACAUUGCUGGAGAAAAAGAAUGUCUCAUGUUGGUCUUGCAUAUAUAAGUUACACUGUUCUACAAUACGCUUGGACGAAAAUGAAAAGAAAAUGGUGGCACCUAUGGUUUGGAAAAUAUGGUGCCUUAAUACUUGGAUGCUCAUGAAUCAGCUAUGUGAAUGAAACAUGAUUGAAACGAUCACGAUAAUUAGGCUUAUACCCCUGUCACACGGCGAAAACUAAUGUCAUUUGAAAAUGAUGACAAUGACGAUAGUAAAAAAAAAAAAACACGCCUCAAACCCACUUUUGUCCAAUAAUUAUUUUCCAGUAUGCUAAAUUCCACUAGAAUAUGUGAUCACUGCUUUCAAACCGUAGUGUUCGAUUACGAACUUGUCGACAUUGCCAACGAAGUCGAGUCGAGCUAAGGCAAGCAACAGGGCGAAGAGAACGAUAGGCGCGUCCGCUACAUCUGCUAAAAAAGGUACGAGAAGGGCAGUUGCAUGUCAUCGCCUUUCUGAUGUGCAUACGAGCUUCUAAUAUCCUCAUUCUUGGCGCGUGCCACAGGAAAAAACGCGCACGCUUUUAUGCCAAGUCAAUUGAAGUGGCCGCGGCCGAUGCUCCGGUGAGAACCAACAGGACUGCUGCAGCGAAAGCUAAAGAUGGCUGUCUGGUCACUGGACUGAGAGUAGUUUUCUGUAUUUACCUAUGUGAUGGACUUCAAUGUCGUUAAAGCAAUAAUUAGGUAAUAAAAUAGAUAGAAUAGUGAUUUUUUGUUAAAACAAAAAAAGAAGCACGUACUGUUUGCGAAACACUGGUAAACUCGUGGUGUCGAGGAUACACAUUCAGUUCCAAACGAAUGCGAAUGAGUUUGGCGAACUGAUUUGUUUGUAAAUGUCCUUACGUUUUACCGUGUGACACCAAAGAAAUGGCAUUAUCAGCGAAUGUCAUUCGUUGUAAAUGACAUUAGAUUUGCCGUGUGACAGGGGUAUUAGACAUGAACUCGUAAAACAGCUUCAAGUGUCCAGUCAGUACUCUACUUGACUGAAAUAAUACCUUUAACUCAAAAACCCACAUGACUGCAUAGCCUUCAAAGCAUACGUUCACAGGUGUGUCUGCUCUGUAAAUAUGGAUGAAUGACUGAUAAAUCAACCAUUAAAAAUAAUUGCUGAAAGCUUUAAUUGACAAUUUUUAUAUUGACAUUAAUCAAAUUAUGUGCAUCAAUUCAGUCAGUAACAGUGAUGUUUAAGUUAAUCUGGAAAUGCUGCACAUGUUUUCGAUUGCAGACUGUUUUGCCCUUCUAUGGUGGCAUGCCACUAUGGAAGUGGCAAUAACUUAUGCUAUGGAAUGUAAUUGGAAAAUUAAGUUCUAACUGUAGGAUAGAAAUUGAUAACAAUGGCAAUAUUUAGUAAAGGAACUAAAGUGGAAGACAUUUUUGCCCUGGGUAGGAUCUGAACCACAAUCUGCACAUGUCCAGUCCAGUGCAAUGCUUUUACAAUGGUUCAGUAAUGUUUUUUGUGCGAACAAGGUUACCAACAGUGAAGGAUGAAAUUGGCAGCCUAGCUGUAAACUUGGUACACACAAUAAAUUUCUUCACUUACGUACCUGAUAACACUGGUGCAGAUAAUCCCUAUGACGGUUUAUCAAUGACACCAAACAUUUAAACACUUUAAUAUGUAAUCUUGCCUCUUCAAAUGUAAUGUAAUCGUGUAGUAUAAUUCAGAAAUGUAAUCUUGCCUCUUCAGCAGCUGAAGGCUGCAUAACACCUAACCUAACCUAACCUAAAAAGAACAAAAAUUGCGACAGCUUGAACUAUUUAACACACACCAUUGCAAAAGGUUUUUGUAAGUUAAUGUAACUCAUUAUUCAAUUAAAGGAAUUCUAAAUAAUGAUAUUAAAAAUGUUCAUCAGUGCCCAUUUCACUUCCUUGCGUGCUCGGUAAUUUUUACUUAUGCUUCAACUAAUAUACACUUUUUCUCUACUCUCUCAAGACAAGCUGCGAGAAGGCGUGUCCAUGGAUGCAGUGCAGUACUGGAUAAUGUGCGGUCCAACGUGGAUGAGACAUUCCACCGCAUUAACCUGUUAAGCAAGCAGGAUCUCCGCAAAAUAAUGAGGGAUGCCAGAGUCUCGAAGACCGAGCGGCUGCACGAUAAUGACUAUGUGAGCGUGCAACUCUGGGUUGAGAGGAUGCAUAGUGAAAAGGAAAACCCAUUGCUCUUCUUUAAACACCAAGGACAACCUGACAAAAAGUGACAUUUUUUUAGAGAAAAAAAUGAGGACCUUUUGGAUGACAGAGAUUUUAUGCUAGUCAUCAUUACCACACCACAACAGGAGCUUUUCAAGAGGCUUGGAACUGAUCGUAUAUGUGUCGAUGGAACACAUGGAACAGCAGGUAAAGAUUUAAAAGAAAUAACGCCUAUAGCAAGCUCCGUUUGUUAUGGACUUCGAGCAUGGUCUAAGGCAAACGGCCUCAUCCUCAAUGAAACCAAAACAAAGUGCGUUAUUUUUCAUGCUCUGGGAAGUUCUACUACAUUGCCAGAUAAUAUUGUGUGGGGUCUGUAUAAAAUUAACCUUACGUCAUCCAUAAAAACCCUAGGCAUAAUACUCGCUAAGCAUAUGUCCUGGAAUGAACACGUUAGUCAUGUUUGCUCAAAGGUACGAAAAGUUGUUGGUGUGUUAAAUUGCAAUUGAAGUGCAUUACAUUUUCAAGUUAAGUGUCUCAUUUAUCAUGCUCUUCUCCAUUCACACCUCAGUUACUGUUCACUUAUAUGGGGUAACACUACAGCGCAAAAUAUUCAAAUGCUGGAAAUACUUCAAAAGAAAGCAAUUCGGGCGAUAGCGAACGUUUCUUUUUUCGAGCAUACGCAAGAGCUUUUCCAACAAAACAGAAUAAUCAGAGCCCGUGACAUAUAUAAAUUCAAAACAUUACUAAGCUAUAGAAAUGCUAUGCUGGGAAAACUCGAUUCAUUCCUAGCCCCGGCAACUCUACAACAAAAUAGAAGUGCAUAUUCAUAUCGUCACCAGGCACCAUGGCAGAUCCCUUUCUCACAUACUAAUUAUGGCUGCCAAUGCCUUAAACAUACACUACCAUCCCUACUUAACUAUUUUAACCAACAACAUGUUGAUGUGUUAUCUCUAAACAAAACUAAAAUAUUGGAUUUGUUCUUAUAGAUGUGUAUUGUUAACUGCUCCAACAGUUCCGCAGAACUUAUCAUAUAUUCUCAUUUUGUUUAUACAUUCACACUUGUAACUACUAUUCCUAGAAUCCGGGUUUCCGCUGCAGUGAUUGUGCCCGAACCACGUGGCAGGGUUUCGUGUUGUAAACUGGAUGCUGCAAAGGGCGUCUUCGCGUUUGUUAAAAUUCAAGGAUGUGAUGACGCCCUGGGCUACGUUGCCGUGAUGUCUGUCGCGAAAGCAGCAGCCUAUAUGCAGAUUUUCUUUUUUUAUGUUUUUUAACAUAGAUGCACAUAUAUAUUUGCAAGUAUGUAAAAUAAUUUCUGAAAAAAAGAAUGUUUCCUGAUGGUAACUUAACUUGUGUUUAUUGUAAACUUCUGUGAAAUUUGUUAUAUUUAUAUAUGUAUGUGUGUAUAUGUAUAUAUAUGUAUACAUAUAUUGCUUUUGCAUUCUUAUUUAUUUAUUUAUUUUACAAUACUGCAGGCCAUCGUCGGGCCCAUGCAGAGUGGUUACAACAUGGAAUACAGUACAAAAAAAGAAUAAAGUGAAACUAGUGUAUCCAAAACAAAGAGCAUUAGCACACACAAAAAAGAACACACUCAAUAAAUAUAUACACUGUUUAAAUGAGCCGUCCGGGAAGCAGGAGAAACAGCGUUUACCAUAAGAAUGCAUCUACAGAGGCUGCAUAUGAAAUACAGGUAAUAUCACCAUUCGAAUUCCAGAUUCUCAAUACUGUCAAUAAUUGCGUUGGCAGAUGGGCAAUUUACGGCUCUAGAGGGUAGUGUGUUCCAAUGGGAAAUGGCGUGUGGGAAUAAAGAGUACUUGUGAGUGUUA